CCCUUAUUUUCCUUUGAGGAGUCAACCACUUUUCCCCUCCUCCCAGUUCUGUGAUUGGGUGGGGCGGGCCUCACUCAUUGGCGCCAAGAAUUAGCACGUGACCCAGAUCUGGCCAAUCAAGAAAGCCUGGUCUCCGGGCUACAACUGUAGCCAGUAAUGAGCACAUGACCUAAGCCGAGCCAAUGAGACUUGAUCUUUGCAGAGAUUUUGAGGAGAGGAGCUCUUACCUGCUAGGCUUGCUAAACUGGCCGACUCUAGCCUCUAGAUGCUGGUGACCAUGUUUGUCACCUCAAGUGUGGAGCCUACCUGAGAAUGAAGCCCAAAGCAAGAGCCAAAAGAUGUGGAAAAAGAGUCUGGGUGACACUGCUGAAACUCCGGAUCUAGCGGUGCCUGAAGGCUAUACCUCUCCAGUCAGAAUACUACAGAAAUAGCCAUGUCAUUCCCAGGGAAUUCCAUCUGGAGGCACAUGACAUCCACUUAAUCAUUUGGUCAAGAGGCCAGAAGUCUGAGAUCAGGUGCCAGCGUGGGCGGGUUCCCGAGAGGGCCCGAUUCCUUCUUUGCAGAUGGCCGUCUUCUCUUUGUACCCUCAGAGGACAGAAACAGACAAAGGGCUACCUCUCUUCUUCCUCUGAGAAGGACACUGACCGCAUCACGGGGGUCCUACAGCCCUACUUCCAAAGACGGUCACGUUAGAGCUCCGUCGUAGGAAUUCUGGGAGAUCACAAACAUUCAGUCCAUUGCAACUACUGCAGUUGAAACAUGAUGAAUUUCCAACUCCAGCACUUUCUUCAUAUUCACCAGUCAGCACUCUGCUAUAAGCAAGGGCCUCUCUGUGUCUCAUCUAUUCAUCUGUGUAUUGUGUAUAUCCUAAUGGAGUUCUAUUAUCUUCAAUGAUUUAUAGUUCAUUACUGUCCUUGUAUUUCAGUGUUCAAAUCGUCCUAGAAUUGGCCAAUGACA